AUCAGAGGCUUUGCAAAGAGUCUUCGAGUCGCCGCUCUCACACACCUCGCAGAGCCGAUUCGUGUCCGCACCGCCCACAAGGCAGUUUGACGAGGUUGCGACUGGAACGAAGUUGUCCCGAGGGACGGAAGCGUAAACGGUAACCCGGCAAGGCCGACGGUGAUGCACAACGCCACUGCAGGCCCGACUGUCCACCUGACAGCCUCAUGUCC
rfam:Pseudomonas syringae pv. japonica str. M301072 contig26.14, whole genome shotgun sequence.